CUAUGGCUGCCCCCACCCCGCCCCCUCACCCCCCCACCAGCGACCAGCGCUACAAACCAACACCCACCGGUGCUGCCAAUGGCGGCGAGGAGUGGUGGAGAGCCGCGGCGGCCGGUGUUGGGGCGUUGCAACCACGGCGACAAGUGAUGGAGAUCCAUCAUUUUCUUUGCAUGGAAGCAGCCCCAUUUUUUGCUGCCAACGCCCUUGCUUUUUGCUGGAACCAGUACAUGGCGGUGCAAGUUGUCAACGGUGGCGAGCCGGAGACAGGGACGUCGGGGAUGCUCCAACCAUGAUAACAGCGCGCUGGAACCCUCUUAUGUUCGAGUUGCAACCAUGACGAGCAGAGGUAGUCGAGGCAAGUGCCAGGCACGAGCGGCAGGCAAGCGGCAGGCGAGCGCGGGUGACGGGCGCGGUGGCAAUGGUGGCAAGCAGGCACGGGAAGACGAGGACUAUCGCGGGCGGCCUGCGAGCGCAUGGAUCUGGCAUGUGCGCAUGCUGCCCUUUUUCUGUAUUUCCUGUGCGUGUUUUUUUCUGCGUGUUUGACUUUUAAAACAAAGCAAUCAGACGGUUGGGAAGGGAUGUAUCGGGCGGCUGGGGUUUGACUGGCCCAACAGUUCGGCCGGCACGCCGGCGCCUAUAAGCUCCCUUUUAGAUUUUGGAUCUCAAUCUAUUAGCCAAGGCCGCUGCAAGAUUUUCAGACAUUC